CCACAACCCUGGAGAUGGCUCCAGUUCCACAUAGUGUUGAAGUCUGAACCUUGCUAGUGACCAUGGCAAGGACUGUACCCUACCAGCCACCAGGUUCCAGAUGCUACCAUGAUGCCAACCAGCCUUCCCUGGACAGACAACCCCAGCAAUGUGUCCCCAGAAACCACCCCACUAGGAAAAGAGAGAGACCUGUUAAUGCCCAUGUUCAGCGGGGAAGCAAUUAAAGAAGCCAGACCUUCCACCUUCUACAUCCCAUAAUGACUCUCAGUCCAUAUCCCAGAGGGAUAAAGAAUAGGAAAGCUAUCAGGGGAGGAGAUGAGAUACAGAGUUCUGAUGGUGGGAAUUGUGUGGAGUUGUACCCCUCUUGUAUUUGUCAAUAUUUCCUUUUUUAUAAAUAAAAAAAGAAAGUACAAGUCUAGCAUGA